GGGCUCGGGGGGGGGGGGGGAGCCGCGUCCAGCCUACAGCCGCUGCGUAAUUAUAUUCAUGAAUUAAUUGCAAAGCAGGAAGGAUUACGACAGCCCUCAUGCCCAUGUCCUCUAAAGCCUCAGUGAGUCAGAUGAUGGGGAAAUUUCCUUUGAAAAAAAAAAAAGAAGAAGAAAAAAAAAGGAAAAUAUGGUGGUUAUUGUUGUGCUCUUCUAAGAUAAAUAAAUAAGCGCGUACGAGUCCCCGAACGAGCAGGGCCAGUUUCCAGGAAUUGCAGCACUUCUGCCUUGCUCCCUGCCCCGGGGGCAUGGGGGAGUUCGCGGGAGUUUUUUUUUCCUCUCUCUGUUUUUUCUGCUUUUAUGUAACGGUAGCAAGUCGAGCAGAUGGUGGUGGAAGGUGUGGGGUGUAGGGGAUUUUUUCUUUUCUUCCCCCCCUUUUAUUUCCCCUGCCUUGUUUGUUUGCCUUCAUGCACGGCUGCUCCCACGAGCGCAGGAGCUGAAGCAGGUCUGCGUGCUCGGAGCCGCUCGCCGACGGGAUUUUUCCCCACUGCAGCCGCGGGGCCUGCGCAUCCCGCUCGGAACAGGACCGCGCUGCCUCGGGGGCCGCUGGGUUAUCCCAGCUCCAGCAGUCGGAGGUUUGCCGGGCGCCUCCGGAGAGAGGGUCGGAAGCAGCGCGCCGGCUGCGGCGGGGUCCGCGGCGCGGGGCAGCGGUGUUUUCGGAGGGAUGCCGCCUUCGCCCCGCGCCGGCGCUCGCCCUUAUCAGUAGGAAGCGGCGCCGGGGUGUGGCUGGAUGCAGCAGGGUGACUCCGGCAUCCGGGUGUUUUGGAGCGAGGCUGCGAUUUCGGCCGGUUAUUAAUUGCUUUUUCCACGGUGCUCGGCAGCGAGGUUAUUGCACGUGCGUUUGCAGCCCGGCCCCGCUUUGCCGUGCCGAGGUUUCCGAGCUGCAAAACCGCCGGUCUGGGGGAAGCAGCCGCUUGGGGGGGCCGGGGGCUCCCUGCAACAUCCCGAGGUCGGAGGGGCCCUCGCGGUGCUCCGCCAGCCUCCGUCACCAUCGCCUCGCGGCAGCCGUGGCUCAACAGCCUCCACCAUCCCCUGUUUGCUUUAGGAGAUUUACAGGGCGCUUUACAGCCGCGCGGGCCGCUGCGCCUGGGAUUUUAUAGCACCGUAAAAGAGCAGCGGCCGCUGGGAGGUGGACGCGUGUGUAACGCGGCGCCGGGUCGCUGCCGGCUCCGCGGCGGAUGCAGCGCCUGGCCGCCGCGUUUCGGGGCGGGAGGCUGGGUUUCCUCGUGGAUUUGCAGGCGCGUCUUGGCUCCUGGGGCCGCUUUGGGAUGCGGGAGGCCGUGCCCCAGGCUCGGACCGAAUUUGUAAAAAAGAGAGAAAAACCACACGAUUUCCCUGCGGGAGGAGGAAGAGCACGCGAGGGCCAUGCCGCGUGUGCCGGAGGGAGCACCGCAGCCGGCUGCGUGCCUGAAAGGUGCUCGGAUGCUGCAGCGAGGAGGACGGCGGCGUGAGAUGCGCUGCUAGGGCGCGCGUUUGGCUGCGGGGCUCCCGCAGCGGCAGCAGGUCCCAUCUCCUGGUCGGGGUCGGGAGCUCGGGCUGCUUCAGUGCAGGGAUUCGGUCUCUAGGCUCUUCCUCCGGCCUCGGAUCGAUGCCGGAGAAGCCGUGCGCUCAGAAUCUCUGCUUUGGUGCAGCGGGUGCAGCUUUCCUGCCGGACAGGCCCGAAGCGCGCGGGCAGCAUCCCUGCCUGCAGGCUGCCUUGCUCUCGCCCGGCCGCGCGCACGCUGCGGGUGGAAGGGAUUUACCCGCGGUGUCACGGAGCCGAGGGCAGCGGCGUGCGUAAAGGAGCGUUUGCUGCGCUAAGCCUGCCCUGUUCCCCAUUGCCCCUCCCUAAGUCGGCCUCCUCCUCUGUACCCCCUCGCCGUGGUGCUCGGGAGAGCUUUCUGGGUGCAAAUCCGUGUGCAAAGGGCUCACUCUCGGGUGCAGCUCGUGCAGCUGCUGCAGCCCAGCUCUGGUGCCAGAUUUCGCCGAGCCGAAGGGGAACCCGACCUGGGCGCCUGCACAGCGGGGCGCAUCUGCCUGCGCGGCACCCGGUGCCGGAUGCUUCCCGGCCGGGUGCGAUGCGGAGCAGCGGGAGCAGGGCCAGGAGCUGCCUCGCUGCUCCACGGCUGCAUCCGAUACUCUCGCACGGCUCCAGCCUGUCGCUGCUGCCCCGGCUCGCAGCCACGCCAUGCACCAUCCCUUCGCUCCGGGUGGGAGAAGACAGGGAUUGCAGCGGGAGCUCGGCCCACAGCCGGCACGGGGCUCGGCCGGGAUGCUGAGCAGGGGCCGGGGCCCCCGGGGCAAGGCGAGUCGCGGGCCGCCCCGUGUCCCCGGCGUGUUUAUUAUUGGGUCCGGGCGACAGCUGCGGCUCCCGCGCGGGGCGGCCGCCGGCCCCGCCACCGUUACAUGAGAUCCAGCUCCUGAGACGGCUCCUGGCCGCGGGCUCCGGGCUGGAUGCUGCGUAUUUAUAAAUAUUACCUCCUUGCAGCAGCACGGGGCCGCUGCAAAAACAGGCGGCGCGGCGGGAGGAGGGCGGCGCGGGAGCCCGCCGGUGCCGGGGGGCUGUGCGGGGAGGCGGUGGGCACCGGCGCUGAGCAUCUCCCGGGACCCUGGUCCUGCUAAAUCCCAGCGCCUCGCGCCUGCCCCGCAUGCACGCCGUGCUGGGGUCGAGGACAGCGCUGCGCUCCCGCUUUCCCUUACUUAUGCAAUUAUUAAAAAAAUAAUAAAAUGCUGAAGCAGCCGAGUUGGCUGGAGCCCGGGGGCAGCUGCCAGAGCGGGUUCACUGGGCCGCCCCGGCUCUUCGGCUGCGGGCGCUCUUUGCCGAGGUGACCGAGGCGCGUCGUGGCUGUCCCCGGGGCCGAGGCCUCUCCCAAGGUCACGGCGCUCUUCUCCCCGCUGCGCGGCUGCGCCGAUACGGUGCUGAUUAAUGGCUCGGCCCGGGGCCAGGCCGGGCUUCGGCAGCCGCCCGCCCGGGCCCCCGCUCCGCCGUUGGCUUCUCCGCGCCCGGCAGCGGCCUCCUGCCUGUUAACACUUUUAUUUUUAAUUGCCUCUCCGCGGGGGCGCGAGGGGGGCGGGCAGGGGACGGGAGCUUUUGGUCCUGGGCUGUGAAUUCCCGCGCGCCCCCGCUCCCGGCGAUGCCGCCAGAACCGGGGCGGCUUUUUUCAUCGAUUCUGGUUAUUCUGCCCCAAGGGUGAUGCGGGGCCAGGGGAGACGGAGGCGCUCGGCCCCGGCUCUUUGGAGGCUUUUGGCUCUCCCGGCGUGCCGGGAUGGAGGAUUUUCCCUCUGCGGCAUCCCUCCCUGGCACCGCGGUUUCGGGGUCCCGCCGUGGGGCGAGAUGUGCCUCCCGCCCAAAGCGUUAAUGUUUUUACGGCGCUAAAUACCUGGGCCGCUUCCAAGAGCGGCAUUUAACGCUUGGAAGGGAAAACAUUUGGCCUCUGACCCAAGCGCCUGUUAACAGCGCCGCGGUCCACGUUGCUGAGAUGCCGGGGCUAAAAACAGUCCCCGGGACUCCGCCGCCCAUUGGCUUCGUCAACCGACUCCCGCGCCGGGUCGCCAAGAGCCUCCGGCCGCGGCGCCGGACCCCUGCCCCGAGCGAGCCGGCGGCGGGCCGAAGGUCUCCGAGGAGGGAGGUCCGUGUGGCGGGGCGGGGGGCUGCUGGGGCGGGGGGCGAGGAGGAGGAGGAGCGGCCUUCCUCCUGCCCGGGGCUGGCAUCGCUGGAGCCCGGGCACCGCGGGCGUGCCGGCACGGUGUAAACCGCCCUGCUGAGCCGGGUGCAUGCCUGCAUCGGGCUGCGGGGACGGGGAUGGGGAUCAUUCCCACCCCAGCGAAGGGAUCGAAUCCCGGCGGAUCCCAGCCGCCGGAGGCAGGUGGGCGCCGGAGCCCGAGCUUUGCUUCUCCCUUGCUUUUCGGGCAGCGCCGCUUUGGCCAGGGGCUCUCCCGCUCGCUGGCAGCCGGGCGAGGACCCGCCGUGUCUCCUCCUCGCCUUGAGCCUGAGGAUGCGGCUCGGGCACCCCGCAGUGCCAGGGGAGCCCCCCGGGCCCUGCCUGCUGCUUCGGCAGGGCCGCGGGCUCGCGAUGCCGUUCACACCAUCCCGGCGAAAUGGAGGGUGCAAACGCGACCUGGAAGCGGUGCCUGUCGGGCCGGGAGCUGCGUUAACACCAGUUUCGCUGGCGCAGGGGCGAGUCUGGGAGAGCCGGGUGCCCCUUGCCUUUCCCCCGAGCUCUGCCGGGAACGAAACAGGCCCUCGGUGUCCCGUGCCGCUAUCUAGACCCCGUGCACCCGGGCGAUAUGCACCCCGGCGCCGUGCACCCAGACCCUGUGCACCCCGACCUCGUGCACCCCAACCUGCUGCUGCAUGAAAGAGCUACAGAAAGGCGGCAGCUGGCCGGGGCGCCUGGCUCCCGCGGGCGCUCGCGGCCCGGGCGCGGAGGGGAGAUGGCGCGAGGCCGCGGCCGCGCACAAGGCCGGGUGUGUGUCGCCGGCGCCAGCUGCCCCGGGCAGCGCACACAGGCGUCCUUGUGGGCCCCGCCAUCCCGGCGGGUGCCAGCCGGCGUGGAGACGUCCCCGGCGUGCCGGGAGCCCCGGCGCGUUUGCAGGGGUCUCCCGCGAGUCCGGGUGCUGCUGGCCCGGCCGGGAUGCGGGGGACGCCGUUCCCACGGGGAUGCGAUGGGGCCGACCCGGGCGCCGUUCACGGGGGUCCAGCACCCUGGGGAAGCCGCUGGCGGGUGGUGCCUUAUUUUUGUCACUAUUUCUCAUGUUUCUCAGCUCGAUUAGUAAUUCCUCCGCGGCCGCGAGAGGAGCGAGCGGGUCUGGAGGCUUUUUGCAACUUCCUCCCCCCGCGCCCUGGGCGGCUGGCGCCGCGGUUUGCUGCUGCCCUUCGCACCGUUUCGGGGGUGCUGCGGCCGGGGGGGUCUCGGGGAGCCCCAGCCUGGUUUGGGCGUCCUCGGCCAGGCGCUCGGGGGAGGGGGGGGUCGCGCCGCCCCCCGCUUGCUGCGUCUUGCCCCCCCAGCGUGGCGUCUGAAAAAAGGAAAAAACCCAGAAAAAACGAGGAAGGAAGGCUUGGCGGGUGUUUGCUGCUCGUACCAAGAAGUGGGGGUAUUUUCACUUCUUCCUUCGCCGUUUCCUUUUCUUAGCCCUCGUGUUUAUCAAUGAAGCGGCACGGCGCGGGGGCGGGCGCCGGGCGCAGCCCCCUCCCCAGCCCUGCCGGGCACCGGGGGCUCCGCGCAGACCCCCCCGGGCUCCUCUUUGAAGGAUGCGGCCUCGCCGGGAGCUCCCGGCCCGCGGUGCCGCCUUGGGCCCCUCCAGCCUCCCGGAGGCGGGCGGCUCUUUGGUGGGAUGAGUUUGGGGGUUCUCAGCGCCGGCGCGCAGGGGAGGAGAGCGAUCCCCGGCUCCCGGCGCCGUGCUCCUCCCGGAGCUUCCCCAGAGAGUAACGCGAUCCCGCCGGGCCCGCUCUGCGCGGGCUAUAUCUGGCGACGGGCUCAUGGCAGGUGUUAUUUUUAACCCCGCUUUUUUAGCUUCCUUAGCUCCGCUUGCAGAGCACACCUGGGCCCGGAGGCGGCGGGUGCCGCGGGCCCGGCGCUGUGAGCGGGGCCGGCGCUCGCCUGCCGUUCCCGCGGUAUAAAUAACUCCGGGGGCACAGCUUGUCUGUUUUUUUCCCUUCCCUUUUGGCUGUCCCGGGCCGCGCCGGCUCGCCGGAGCGAUAAUUAGCGUGUGAGCAAGCCCAGCCGCGGCAGCGCGAAGGCGCCGGGUUGCUGAGCAGCGCCCGGGUGGCGCUUAGAAAAUACCGGCGGUUGCCAAGCAGCUGCCCCGGCCGCCCCGCCGCGGAUUUACGGGCCCCGGCCGGGGUGCGGGGGGGUCUGGUUGGGCUCGGCGUGACAUAACCCCCCCGGAGGGAAAGCAAGAAAGGGCCCAGAUGAGCCGCGAUGCCGGGCGGCUGGGGAGGCGUCUUGCAAGGAGCCGAAUUCGGCGGUGCCUCGGCGUGCCGGGCGGCUUUGCGGCGGUUUGCGACCGGCCCGGGGUGCUGCCGGCUCCUCUUCUGCCUUGCGGUCUUGCUCUGUCUGUGUGGUUGUCAAGGGAAAUAAGUAUAAAAAAAAGGGAAAAAAGGGAAGGAAAAAAAAAGGUCUGGCUGAGGGUUGCACCCGAAUCUUUUGCAGAUUGCACUGGGAAUCGAGCUUUUCCCGUGGGCUGGGGCUGGCAGGCGUCGGAGGUACCUGCUGCGGCACCUCCUGCCCGUCCCUUCGGCCGGGCUUCGGGGAGCCCGGUGCCACCCUGGGGUGCCUUCGAGCACCCAGUCCUCGGAGUUAGGCACGGCAGAGCUGCUCCCCGUCCUCCCAGCGCCCCGCUCCGCGCUCUCCCGGCAGGAAAGGUGGUGUCCGAGCCAAAGGAUUGCAGGGCUCUGCCCGAGCCAUGGUGCUGCGGACAUCGCUUCUGCCCCCGGCCCGCGAGGCAGCUCACGGGGACGUGUCCCUCCUCGGGGGGACGUGUCCCUGCGGUGGGACGUGUCCUUCCUCGGGGGGACGCCCAGCCGGGGUCCCCGCCGGCGCUUCCCGCCGUCCUCCCCUCCGCCGGGGCUGAGUCAGAGCGAAAGCAGAAGCUGCUCGGCGUUACCGGGGGGGGGGGGGAAGCCAAGCAGAACCGGCCGGGUUAUUUUAAACCUGACCUAAUUUCCCCCUUUCCUGCUUGCUCGCUGGGGGGCCCGGCCUCUCCCCAGCCCCGUCCUCACCCUCGGCAGCUCCCGGCGCAGGUGAUUUGCUCAGGAAUUUCCUGGGGGGACGCGGCAGCGCUCAAACCCGCCGAAGAGGGGGGAAGCCCCUGGCGUGGGACGCGGGGCGGGGGGCAGCCGUGCCCACGGUGGGGAUGCCCCGUGGGUGCUGCCAGCGGGGGGGCCCUCUUUGGUUUCCUGCUCCCACGCUUCCCGGCCGCCGCGUUGCUCUCCCGGGAAGCCCCAGGCCGGGGCGCCGAUUCGGGUGCCGCCCGCUGCCGGAGCCCUCCCCGGCCGCCUGCUCCUCGUCAGGCCCGUGGUUUAGGGCCGCGGGUGGCUCCCGGCUCGGAAAUGGGGGGAUCAUCCUGAAGGUCCCCGCACGUGGCGUGAGAUCCCCUCCCGGCCGUCCCCUUCCCCCUUUUGCUGGAGCAUCCCAGGAGCUGGGCUCCCCCGGGAGCCGUGCGGGCUCCCUGCCUGCCUGCGCGGCGUUCCCGAGCCGGAGGCAGCGUGGGGAUGGCUCCUUCCAUCUCCCGGCUGCUCUUGGGCGCUUUCCCUCUUGCCCCGCGCGGGGAGUUUGGGGUUACGGCAUCCCCCGAGUCAUGAGUUGUGAUUUAUCCCCCUUCAGCCUCCUUGGACGGGUCCCCGGCUGCGCCCCGGCGUCUCUGCAUCCCCGCUGCCUCCGCCUGGGGCUUCUCUUCCUCGAGGCCUCGUCUCCAGCGGCUCCGGCACCUUCCCGCCCGCACCCGCGGCUCCCUCCCCAGGGCCCUUGGCCAGGGCCAUCUGAACGAACCGCUGUUCGAUCAUGGUCCCCUUUGGAUGGGCCACUGUGUCUAAUUAAUUACCAUCCUCUCGCCGCUCAAUCGCUGGCUCUUGAUCCAUGUAAUCGUAUUUCUGUCCGAGUCGGCUUGAUUUAAUUCCCCCCUUAGGGUAUUUUGUGGCCCCGUGUAUCAGAUGCCUCGCUGCAACCCCGGCGUGCUCUAGCCCCCAGCUCCCCUUCGCCUGCAAUCGCGCGUUGUGUUUGAGUAGCGAAGCCCUCCAGGUUCGUCGGGUUACGUUACUGCUGAGUAAACCCGGGGUGUUUGGCUUGCGCGUGUCCCCCUUGCCAUGUUUGCUCGGUGUCUUCUGCCCGCGGCGGCGGCGGGCCGGCUGGCGAGGAGGGCGGGUGCUGCCCGCUCUUUGCCCUGCCUGCAAAUGGUCCCGCUUUUACCAGCCGCUGGAGGGUCCCUGGAAGCGCAGCGCGGGAUGCUCGGGGAUGCACGGGGAUGCUCGGGGAUGCUUGGGGAUGCUUGGGGAUGCACGGUCCAAAGCAGUGCAGGAGCAUCGCAGCAUUUGCAAACUGGGGCUCCCGGUUUCCAUCCCUGAUGCUGGGCAAAGGCUCCUGCAUUCCUGCCCCAGCUCCUCACCGGCUUUGCCGUGUCCCCGGGGGAAGCUACUUUCCCUCUCUCCUCACCGGCAAAACUGGCUCCAGGGCCCCGGUGGGUUCCUCCUACACCGGGCCCGGGGGGUGCAUUAUUGCCCGGGGCUUCACGCUCCCAAGAUCCCAGGGGAGGCAGCUCCCGCCGGGGUCCCUGCUCCAGCGCGGGUGGCUCCCCGCGUCCCCGCUCGCCCUCGGCCGCCGCCGUCCCCUUGGCGCGGGGAACAAGGGCCCCGUCUGUGCCAGCGGCGUGGCCUCGCGCGGCCUCUCCCCCACCUCCGCGCUCGCGUGCGGGCCGCGCACAGGGGCCGCGUUGUUCGCUGCGUGCCGGCGUUUCGCCCCGCGCACGGGCUCCCUCGCUCCGCUUCCGCCUCCGUGCCCAGCAGUGGCGGCCGAAGGGUUAAGCGCUGUCUCCUUGCAUGGACCUUCCUCUUCUUCCUGGUCUUCCCUCGCUUUCUGUUUCUCUUUCGGGUGCUCCCAGUGUCCUGCUUUUCCCUCUCUCUUGCUUUGCUCCUGCAUUCGGAAAUCGGAAGCACGGAGCAAGUGCCGGCGGAGCUCGGCAGCGCGUGAGUCCCGGGCUCGCCGGUGCAAGAAUCGCCUCCGUGCCUGGCGGGCGGCCGCCUCUCGCCCCCCCGGGGCACCAUGGCGU